CGCUGGCGGCAGGCCUAACACAUGCAAGUCGAGCGCACCCUUCGGGGCGAGCGGCGGACGGGUUAGUAACGCGUGGGAACGUACCCUUGUCUACGGAAUAGCCAUUGGAAACGAUGAGUAAUACCGUAUACGCCCUUCGGGGGAAAGAUUUAUCGGACAAGGAUCGGCCCGCGUUAGAUUAGAUAGUUGGUGGGGUAAUGGCCUACCAAGUCUACGAUCUAUAGCUGGUUUUAGAGGAUGAUCAGCAACACUGGGACUGAGACACGGCCCAGACUCCUACGGGAGGCAGCAGUGGGGAAUCUUAGACAAUGGGCGCAAGCCUGAUCUAGCCAUGCCGCGUGUGUGAUGAAGGCCUUAGGGUCGUAAAGCACUUUCGCCAGGGAUGAUAAUGACAGUACCUGGUAAAGAAACCCCGGCUAACUCCGUGCCAGCAGCCGCGGUAAUACGGAGGGGGUUAGCGUUGUUCGGAAUUACUGGGCGUAAAGCGUACGUAGGCGGAUCAGAAAGUAUGGGGUGAAAUCCCGAGGCUCAACCUCGGAACUGCCUCAUAAACUCCUGGUCUUGAGUUCGAGAGAGGUGAGUGGAAUUCCAAGUGUAGAGGUGAAAUUCGUAGAUAUUUGGAGGAACACCAGUGGCGAAGGCGGCUCACUGGCUCGAUACUGACGCUGAGGUACGAAAGUGUGGGGAGCAAACAGGAUUAGAUACCCUGGUAGUCCACACCGUAAACGAUGAAUGCCAGUCGUCGGGUAGCAUGCUAUUCGGUGACACACCUAACGGAUUAAGCAUCCG
rnacentral:rRNA from 1 species